GAUUUCUGGUUGGAUGCGCCUGGCCCGCCACGGUUUCGUGUGUGAGUGCCGGUGUGCGUCUGCCAUCCUUCUAGUUCGGCUCCACUGUUCGCAAGGAUGGUGGAAGCGAGCUAGAUCUUUUACUUUGAAAAAAUUAGAGUGUUUCAAGCAGGCAUGUUGCUAUGAAUACAUUAGCAUGGAAUAAUAAUUUAGGACUUCGGUUCUAUUUUGUUGGUUUCUAGAACUGCAGUAAUGAUUGAUAGGGAUAGUUGGGGGUGCUAGUAUUCAGUGGCCAGAGGUGAAAUUCUCGGAUUCCCUGAAGACUAACUUAUGCGAAAGCAUU
rnacentral:rRNA from 2 species